CCCUUAGAUGUCCUGGGCCGCACGCGCGUUACACUGAUGCAUUCAACGAGCUUAUAACCUUGGCCGAGAGGCCUGGGCAAUCUUGUUAACGUGCAUCGUGAUAGGGAUAGAUUAUUGAAAUUAUUAAUCUUGAACGAGGAAUUCCUAGUAAACGCAGAUCAUCAAUCUGCAUUGAUUACGUCCCUGCCCUUUGUACACACCCCCCGUCGCACCUACCGAUUGGAUGGUCCGGUGAAGCCUCGGGAUUGUGGUUCUUGCCGCUUUAUUGUGGCGUGACCGCGAGAACUUGUCUAAACCUUAUCAUCUAGAGGAAGGUGAAGUCGUAACA
rnacentral:rRNA from 1 species